CUUCUCUCUCUGCUCUUUCUCCUCUACUGUCUAGGACUGAUCUGGUGACCACCUCAUCUUUAUGCAAAAUGGUCUGGGCCAACUGCUGGAGGAGCAGAGGAGCAUCCCGAGGUGCCGGCCCGCCGGCCCCAGGAUGUGAGAGCUCAGGUACGACUCCAGCGCCCAACCUUCAAAAAAGUCUAACCAGCAAAGAGCCCCACAUCUCUGAUGCAAAUACGCUCCCCCGACCCCGAAUUUGAAGGCUGUGGAAACAGAGGCCUCUGGCACCCUCUGGAGGAGGCUAGAGGCUCUGCACAAACGCUGCCCCAGCAGCCACCUUGGGCCAUGAGUAGAAGCAAUUCCAUUGAAGACAGCUGACUGAAAAACAAAAGGUCCGGUUUCACAAUGAUCAAGUUGCCAGAUGGAUAUGGUAGCCCACAGCUGUAAUCCCAGCACUUGGAAGCUGUGGCAAGAGAUCACAAAUUCAAGCCCAACUCGGACUAUAUAAUAAAGACCCUAUUUCAACCCAUCCACACACAAAAAUAAAUUGUAUGCCCAUGCUAACUUGAGAGAAAA
rnacentral:lncRNA from 1 species